rnacentral:rRNA from 1 species
GACGAACCGUGCGAACGUUGUUCGGAAUCACUGGGCUUAAAGGGCGCGUAGGCGGGCUGCCAAGUCUGGGGUGAAAUCCUCCGGCUCAACCGGAGAACGGCCUCGGAUACUGGCGGUCUCGAGGGAGGUAGGGGCGUGCGGAACUAAGGGUGGAGCGGUGAAAUGCGUUGACAUCCUUAGGAACUCCGGUGGCGAAGGCGGCACGCUGGACCUCUUCUGACGCUGAGGCGCGAAAGCCAGGGGAGCAAACGGG